AGAGCAGCUUCCUGUCAUAAGGCAGCUUUACGCAGUAAUGCGUAUCGAAAAUCAGGCUAAUUCGGGGGACUCCUGCAUUUUUGUAGGACAAUCCCGAGCUAAAUAGGGUGCCGAAUGGUACCCUAAAAUGUGUAGAGACUAUAUACCUGAUCCGCCGAAGAGGCGGAAUAAGAUAGUCCAGACCUUUUGGUAACAAGAGG
rnacentral:ncRNA from 1 species